rnacentral:rRNA from 1 species
AACGAACGCUGGCGGCAGGCUUAACACAUGCAAGUCGAACGGGUGCAGCAAUGCAUCAGUGGCAGACGGGUGAGUAACACGUGGGAACCUUCCUAGGGGUACGGAACAACUCAGGGAAACUUGAGCUAAUACCGUAUACGUCCGUGAGGAGAAAGAUUUAUCGCCCUUAGACGGGCCCGCGUCGGAUUAGCUAGUUGGUGGGGUAACGGCCUACCAAGGCGACGAUCCGUAGCUGAUCUUAGAGGAUGAUCAGCCACACUGGGACUGAGACACGGCCCAGACUCCUACGGGAGGCAGCAGUGGGGAAUCUUGGACAAUGGGCGCAAGCCUGAUCCAGCCAUGCCGCGUGAGUGGAGAAGGUCUUCGGAUUGUACGGCUCUUUUGCCAGGGACGAUAAUGACGGUACCUGGAGAAUAAGCCCCGGCAAACUUCGUGCCAGCCGCCGCAGUAA